rnacentral:rRNA from 1 species
UACGUAGGGGCGAGCGUUAUCCGGAAUUAUUGGGCGUAAAGGGUUCGCAGGCGGCCUUGUAAGUCAGAUGUGAAAGACAGCGGCUUAACCGUUGUAAGCAUUUGAAACUGCAGGGCUUGAGUACAGGAGAGGAAAGCGGAAUUCCUAGUGUAGCGGUGAAAUGCGUAGAUAUUAGGAGGAACACCAGUGGCGAAGGCGGCUUUCUGGACUGAUACUGACGCUGAGGAACGAAAGCGUGGGGAGCAAACAGGAUUAGAUACCCCGGUAGUCCCUGA